rnacentral:rRNA from 1 species
UGGGGAAUCUUGGACAAUGGGGGCAACCCUGAUCCAGCCAUGCCGCGUGAGUGAUGAAGGCCUUAGGGUCGUAAAGCUCUUUCGCCUGUGAAGAUAAUGACGGUAGCAGGUAAAGAAACCCCGGCUAACUCCGUGCCAGCAGCCGCGGUAAUACGGAGGGGGUUAGCGUUGUUCGGAAUUACUGGGCGUAAAGCGCACGUAGGCGGACCAGAAAGUUGGGGGUGAAAUCCCGGGGGCUCAACCCCGGAACUGCCUCCAAAACUAUUGGUCUAGAGUUCGAGAGAGGUGAGUGGAAUUCCAAGUGUAGAGGUGAAAUUCGUAGAUAUUUGGAGGAACACCAGUGGCGAAGGCGGCUCACUGGCUCGAUACUGACGCUGAGGUGCGAAAGUGUGGGGAGCAAACAGGAUUAGAUACCCUGGGUAGUCCACACCGUAAAACGAUGAAUGCCAGUCGUCGGAUAGCAUGCUAUUCGGUGACACA